CAUUUUAAAAACUGAAAAUCCAAAAAGAUUCCUGCAUGUAUGCAUGCGAUGACGUGGCAAUCUGUUUACAUUAGAGACGUGUGGUGCGUCUCCCUUCCUGCCAUACGUGUGGCAGUUAGCGCGACCCUAAUUUUUUAGUACGGGUUGAACACGUCUUAGGUUGGUCAAACUAUCCUGAUACUAGCAUGUAUAUCCAUAUAGUCCUUAUUCCUUAAGCAGAUUGAUUUUUUCAAGUAAUUGCCUUAAUAGCAGAAAAUAGUGUAUCGAUGAAUAGAAUAAUAUGAAUAUUGCCCUGUCUAACAGUUCAUCUCUCCAUGCUCUGGCAAGUGCUGCUUCAUCCCUCAAAUUGACUGAUGUAACCAGAUUAAAAUUGUACGCACACGAGAAAAAAAGAUCGCCAAUAUGCACAUCCACCGUAACAAAAAAUGUUUGAGCUGGUAGUAUAUAGUAUUUGAGCAAAAUGUUUUGUAUAGAUAUAAAUAGGUGGAACUCGGCAAUCAACAAUUACUAGAAAACUACUGGCUGGCUAUAAGUUCAGCAACAUGUAUUCCUCACUAGUUAAGCAUAUUGACAAGUAGUAUCAUGAUUACUUUGUUCUUUAUACCUUUUUCGUUCGUGAAAGUAAAGCCUUCCUGCAGAGUGAUCAACUAAUUUUGAUGGUAAUUCACAUAUAUUCUGCUUGACCAAUUUUGCAGGAAGCCAAUGUACAUGGGAUUUAUGAAGUAUAAAUUUCUGUCUCUAUGCUCCAUGUGAUUUGUUUAGUUUAUUUUUAGACCUGGGCACUUUUAUCAAAUGGAGUUCAAUCCAGCACUGAAACUCUGUUCCAGUAUAUUACUAUAACUCUCUGUUCUGUACAGUCAUUGUUAUUUCAAACAAGACUGACAAUUUUUAUCAUGGGACAUGUAUUGGUCCUUAAUAAGUGUCAAAUGAACUUACUCCUUUCCUAGCCAUCGAUGCAAUCCAAAUGUUAAGAUGCACUAUUUAAGUGAACAUAGAUUGCUUAUGCAGGUGCAUACUGUACUACUUACUGCGGCUUCUGAAUUUAUGGAUUGUGUACAAAGUUUUCAUUGUUUCUGCAGGUGAAGACCUACGAGCUCAGGUCGUCUUUCUCAUCCCACCGCUAUCAUGUUGUGUGAGUCUAAUCAAUGUUUUCGAGUCGAUGAGUCGACGGGUCGCUCGGGGAGGGCGACUCUAGACUAGUCGUGACUAGUCUAGACUCACGGUCGACGAGUCGACAUGGCGACGAGUCAACGCGAGUUAAGCAGCAGGCAGUCAGGGGAGGAGCACAAGUGCACAGCAGCAGCAGCAACCAGGGGAGGAGGGGAGGAGCACACCAGCAGCAGUAACCAGGGCCAACUGAGAGAUGGGCCACUAGUUAUGCACUUCCCUGUGGCCCAAAAGCCCAUCUAGUAGCUAUAUACUCCUCCUGUGACCUAAUCCACCAUCCACACUCCCUCCUCCCUCACCACAGCCGCCACACAUUCUGCUGCCACUCUCUUGCCACCAGUCCACCACUCCUCCCAGCGAUGGAUCUCUCAACCCCCCCGCAGCAGCUCUCUUGCCACCGCUCCUCCUCCCAGCCUGCUCCUCUUGCCGCUUCAGCUUCAGCAGCAGCAGCAGCGCGGCGGCAAGGGCGCAGCAGCAGCAGCGAGGCAGCACAGCAGCAGCAGCAGCACGGCGGCGGGAGAGUGCUCCAGAUCCAGCGCUGCCUCGAGUCGUUCGACCCAAAAACCGCGACUAGUCGUGACUAGUCGAGACUAGUCGCGUGAGUCGCUCGACUCAUCCCAGGAGUCGAGUCGAGAGGCUGAGUCGGCCCUGGAACUGCGACUCGUCGACUAGUCGACGACUAGUCGCGACUAGUCGAGCGACUCGAAAUCCAUGAGUCUAAUACGACCAAUUUAGUGAAUUAUCGCGGCUUGUGCAUUUGCAUGUGUAAUUGUGUAUGUGCCAAGAUAUUGUUUCAAUUGAUAAGGUGGAUUCCUGAAUACAAUUUGUUGAUGCAGUUCUUUUCCCUUUACGAUGUUAGUUGUUUCAUGUUCAUAAUGACUUCUAAUGGUGAACAUCCUCCAGACUGUGCUUUUUGGCAAGAUAAAAAAAUUGCUACUAGGAAAAGGGGAUGUUGGGUGGUUCUGAAUGUUAAAAUAUUCUGCGCAGUGGCACAUUCUAUUAUAUUCCAUAUUUUAUAGUUCAUGAUUUUAAACAGUGUCCACUAGGAUUGUGGCUUUCAAUGACCACAACCUGUUAUUUGACUUCUUUGUGUUACUGUAGUGCACUAUAUUAUGCAUAUGACAUGAGAACAAACUAUGGAAACCUUCCCAUGGAAAAAUAGAACUGGUUUAUACCCAUCAAAUAUUGUUGUAGAUGCUUUCUGAUAUGAUUGCUUGAACUGGUAGUUGUAGACUCAUAGGUACGUCUCGUUGCUUGUUGAUCUGCCCUAGGCCAAAAAUAUUAUCAGCACAUAAAGGUCUAGUCUAAAUCCUUUUAUUAUCUAAGUUGCAGGAUAACAAUCAAUAUUCUGUGUUUAUAAUUAUAUCCAAGUUUCCUAGUUUCAUGAACACACUUGAUGGUCAUCACUGGUUGUAGAAGUGCUACCGCUGGUUGUUAGUUGGUGGCUGCUAGCACGCUUGCUCGCUGAUGUGUAUGCUGUAUGGAUCUUCUAUGCUUGAUGGUGUGAUGAUGGUUGAUGCUGCUGCCUAUUCUAUAUGCUUGUGGGUGUGCUUCUGUUGUGUUGAUUUUGUUGUGCUUCUGUUGCUACUGCCUGCUAUUUUCCAGCUUGCUGUACUGUUUUCCAGUAUAUUAUGCUGCUGCCACUUUGCUAAUUUUCAUGUGAAUUUACUUGUAUAAAAAAGAUGGCACAAUAUCCCCAUUUGAUGCAGAAAAUUUAAAAUCCACCUUUUUGACUUACAAUGUGUUUCUUUUGUAGGAGAGAUAUGCAUGAGGACUAAUAAACAAGUAGCCGAGGUUCGCUCCAACUGGAUGUUUUGUAUAUUUUUACAUUGGACAUUCACCUCUUAGCUAUCCUUUUGUGAGUCUGAUGUAUGGUGUCUCGGACAAUGAAUCAGAAAUAAUAGUACCACCAAGUUACCUUUUGUGAACCUGAUGUAUGGUGUCUUGGUGAUUAUGUUUGGAACAAAUGAACUAUAUGUAUGUGUCAGUUAAUGGAAUAGAAAAUGUUUGGUGCACUUA